rnacentral:rRNA from 1 species
GACGAACGCUGGCGGCGUGCUUAACACAUGCAAGUCGAACGGAAAGGCCCUGCUUUUGUGGGGUGCUCGAGUGGCGAACGGGUGAGUAACACGUGAGUAACCUGCCCUUGACUUUGGGAUAACUUCAGGAAACUGGGGCUAAUACCGGAUAGGAGCUCCUGCUGCAUGGUGGGGGGUGGAAAGUUUCGGCGGUUGGGGAUGGACUCGCGGCUUAUCAGCUUGUUGGUGGGGUAGUGGCUUACCAAGGCUUUGACGGGUAGCCGGCCUGAGAGGGUGACCGGCCACAUUGGGACUGGGAUACGGCCCAGACUCCUACGGGAGGCAGCAGUGGGGAAUAUUGCACAAUGGGCGGAAGCCUGAGGCAGCAACGCCGCGUGCGGGAUGACGGCCUUCGGGUUGUAAACCGCUUUCGCCUGUGACGAAGCGUGAGUGACGGUAAUGGGUAAAGAAGCACCGGCUAACUACGUG